rnacentral:rRNA from 1 species
CAGCCGUAAACAAUGUGCGUUAGGUGUGUCGGUAACCACGCGUUACUGAUGCGCCGAAGAGAAAUCGUGAAACGCACCACCUGGGAAGUACGGUCGCAAGGCUGAAACUUAAAGGAAUUGGCGGGGGAGCACCACAACAGGUGGAGCCUGCGGUUUAAUUGGAUUCAACGCCGGACAUCUCACCGGAUAAGACAGCAGAAUGAUGGCCAGGUUGAUGACCUUGCUUGACAAGCUGAGAGGUGGUGCAUGGCGUGUGACUGU